AGGGCUGAAGCAAGCACAUCUGAACGGGUCUGGCUGCUCCUGGACAGCUGGGGAAGGGCACCCACAGUGUUCUGAGCAGAGUUGGAAGAACACCAGAGCUGCAAUGAGUCAGAGGCUUUCAAAGUGUAUGCUGAUUAAAGAUAUAACAGAAGAGCUUUUAAAAAGAAGAUCAUCUUUCAAUUUCAUGUACAUGAAAAGAAAGGAGGGAAAUACCAAAAUGUUAACAGUAGUGAUGUCUGAGUCAUGAGCUACAGGCACUAUGGUAAGCUUAGAGGUGGAUACGUCUGGCAUCUCCACACAACACAGGCCACCACCAACCCAGUCCUCCUACGUAUACAACUGCUUUGGCACUCAGACUUCACAAGCAAGAAGCAGAUACUACAGCAAGUCUGACUGAAGCCUACAUAUGUUAGGGAGGCAAGCCUUUGUUUUAUAUCAUGACUGCAUGGGAAAAUGAAUGCUACUGUCAUCUCAGAAGGGUGCAAAGAGAGUAUUCACUGCAGUGAACUUUUAGUGGUGAAAAAUUUAAAACAACCAACAUGUUCAUCAUAGAGAAUAUAACCCCAAAAACUCAGAUGUAAAAACCAAAGGAAUGUUAUGAUACCUUCAUUUUCUUAGUUAAGAUUUGUAUGCAUGAGUAAUGUUCACUUUAGGAGAAACAGGACAGUUCCUGAGACUAACAGUGUGAAGUGGUCAUUCAGGAAAGGAAGAUUGUCUUUUUAAACAUGAUCACACUUCAUUGCCAUUGAAUACAUUGGAGCUGCACAUAACACUGGAGGAUUCACCACCCAGCAUGAAGCAAGAUGAGGGUGCUAAAUACUUGGUUCUGAAAAGUGUAUUAACUAAUGAAGAACCUGAAAAUAUCUUAGAAAAUAACUGCUGCAUAAAGUAUAGGAAACAAGGGAGACCAGGCAGAGAGAUCAGAACUCCCGGUAUCUGAUAAUGGAACAACGUGACAUAGUAAGUUAUUUGACUUAAAAAAAAAAGCAAUAAACUUCCUGGGCAAAAAGUGUUACUUACUACCCGAACAACAGCUUAGGGGGUACUGGAAUUGAAAGAAUCCCUAAGAAACUUAAUUCAAAAUCAGAAUUAUUUGGAGACAAAAACCAUUCAAUUUGUUUAGGGACAGCUAAUUUAACAAAUAAUACUUUCAAAUUACUAAAAAAAUUUAUAACAUGUUCCAAACUAAACCCAGUGCUUAUACAAUACUUACUUCUAUGUAAUACCGCAGAGGAUAGUAACCUUUAACAGAAUUUAGAUGGAGUUUAAACAAAGCAGUGUUCUGAGUAAAACUCAAAGUAAAGCAUGGCUGUGUAUAAAAGGGUCAACUCCAGACUAGACCACAAAGUGGACCCAGAGUCCUGUGCUUUGGAAACAGUAGGAUUAAGAUAGACGCAGAAUGUCCAGAAACCCCGUUAUCUAAAACUCUAUGCGUGGGUUAUAAAUCAAGGCCACAUCUCUGUCAAAAAGGGCUUAGAUUUUCCAGGCAAGAGAAGGAUGCUUCAUUCUUACUCACAUAAUUACAAACACCAAAGUUUCUGUAUCUAUGAUUGUAGAAAACAAAGUUUCUCAUUGAGUAGGAAAGCAGUCAGUCACUAGAAGAAGGCUGCUAUUAUGACACUUUACAGCUGCAGUAUGUCCUUAGGGGACAUUGCAUCCUGUUAACUGUGCAGCUGGCUUUAUCUGUGCCUAUUCUUCUAGUCUGAUGAACGACGGCUGAGUGGAUUUUUACCUACUUAGUUUGAGCUAAUUUUUACUUUCUCAUGGGAAAUCCUAAAUGCUGAACACUGUGCUAAGUGCUUUGCAUUCAUUAUUUCAUUUAAUCUUUGCAACAAUCCUUGCUAGCAUCCUGUUUUACAGAUGAGGACACUGAGGCUUGGAGGUAUCUAAAGUUGUUUCUUCAAGGUCACACAGCUAGCAUCAGAGCCAUUUCAAACCCAGGUCUCCUAACUCUAAACCUAGUCUUUGUAAUAUCUUUACUUCAAACAAAUGUAGAAAUUAAAGACUAUUCAAAGAAAGAGUGACAAAAUUCAUUUUGUGGGAAAGUGGCAGGUUCAUGCACUAUAGGUAAGACUGUAGAUUGGAACAAUUUCUCUGGAGGUGUGUUUGGCAAAUAUGAAGUAUAAAAUUUUAACCAUAUACCCUUUGAGCCAGCAAUUAAUCUAGGAAUUUAACCUAAGAAAAUAAAUUUCAAGCUGUGUACAGAGGCAUACAUUAGAAUUACAGCAUUAUUUGUAAAAAUAAACACACAAACAAAAAAACAGAAACAAUGUAAACAUUUUCAGUAAGGGAUUGGUUAAUUAAAUGGACAAAGAGACAUACAGCACAAGAGUAUUCAGCCAUUUUAAUGAUGAAAAUAGAUUGUAUGGUUAAGGAUACCAGAUUAUCAAUUAGCAUUUAUGGUGGUGUUCCUUUAUGUAAAAUCAAAUGCCUUACUAUAUUUAUAUGUGCAAACAUACAAUGCAUAGAAAGGUGUUCACAAUGUUUUUCUCUGGCUCAAUAGUUUUGUUUUUUACUUCUUUUGAAUAUUUUAUGAAUUUGUUUCAUUACUACAAAAUAAAAAACUAUUUGAAAAAAAGAAUGUCCAAGUUAGAUCAGUUCUUGCUUCA